GACGAACGCUGGCGGCGUGCCUAAUACAUGCCAGUUGAGCGCUGAAGGUUGGUACUUGUACCGACUGGAUGAGCAGCGAACGGGUGAGUAACGCGUGGGGAAUCUGCCUUUGAGCGGGGGACAACAUUUGGAAACGAAUGCUAAUACCGCAUAAAAACUUUAAACACAAGUUUUAAGUUUGAAAGAUGCAAUUGCAUCACUCAAAGAUGAUCCCGCGUUGUAUUAGCUAGUUGGUGAGGUAAAGGCUCACCAAGGCGAUGAUACAUAGCCGACCUGAGAGGGUGAUCGGCCACAUUGGGACUGAGACACGGCCCAAAAUCCUACGGGAGGCAGCAGUAGGGAAUCUUCGGCAAUGGACGAAAGUCUGACCGAGCAACGCCGCGUGAGUGAAGAAGGUUUUCGGAUCGUAAAACUCUGUUGGUAGAGAAGAACGUUGGUGAGAGUGGAAAGCUCAUCAAGUGACGGUAACUACCCAGAAAGGGACGGCUAACUACGUG
rnacentral:rRNA from 1 species